UUUUAUGGAGAGUUUGAUCCUGGCUCAGGAUGAACGCUGGCGGCGUGCCUAAUACAUGCAAGUCGAGCGAACGGACGAGAAGCUUGCUUCUCUGAUGUUAGCGGCGGACGGGUGAGUAACACGUGGAUAACCUACCUAUAAGACUGGGAUAACUUCGGGAAACCGGAGCUAAUACCGGAUAAUAUUUUGAACCUAGAUGUUUCAAUAGUGAAAGAAGGUCUUGCUGUCAAUUAUUGAUGGAUCCGCGCUGCAUUCGCUAGUUUGUAAGGUAACGGCUUACCAAGGCAACGAUGCAUAGCCGACCUGAGAGGGUUAUC
rnacentral:rRNA from 1 species